AGUAGGGUGUCUGAUUUAAGGUAUUAAAUUGUAAAUUUAAUUAUGGAUUUUCCUCUUACUA
rnacentral:tRNA from 1 species